rnacentral:tRNA from 1 species
GGCCGGAUCGCGGAUCCGGUGCUGCACGCGUACCUGGUGUGGACGGCGGUGGACACCGGGCUGCCGGUGCAGUUCCACACCGGUUUCGGCGAC